UUUCUGCGUUCUUCUUCUUCUUUUAUCUGUGUCUCUCUCUCCUACUCAACUCUACCCAAACCCUAGACUUCAACCCUAAAAUUGGAUCUCAAGAUUCGAGAAUCUCGCAAAAAGGUAAGAAGAGAACGUGAUCUACAAACAUAGGGCUAUGCAUCUAUCCCAACAAUGUCGCAUUCAGCUAACUUUAGAGUUCCUAGCAUUUCGGGAUUUGGCUCUUUUAAGGUAAGGCGGUGGAUCCGAAGGCAUGAUAGUGUUGGAUUUGUUAUAUAUUUUUUUAGAGCUUAGUUGAUAUUCUUGUAUUCCAUUAAUUUGAUAGUAAGAUUUUGGAAGUCCAGUGACUUGGUAUUCUUUUGGGUUUGUAAUAAAUUUAAUUACAUAUUUUGACU